rnacentral:rRNA from 1 species
GAGUUUGAUCCUGACUCAGAAUCAACGCUGGCGGCGUGCCUAACACAUGCAAGUCGAACGAGAAAGGGUAGCAAUACCUGAGUAAAGUGGCGCACGGGUGAGUAACACGUGACUAACCUACCCUGGAGUGGGGGAUAACUGAGGGAAACCUUAGCUAAUACCGCAUAAUACCUACGGGUCAAAGGAGCAAUUCGCUUUGGGAGGGGGUCGCGGCCGAUUAGUUAGUUGGCGGGGUAAUGGCCCACCAAGACUGUGAUCGGUAUCCGGCCUGAGAGGGCGCACGGACACACUGGAACUGAAACACGGUCCAGACUCCUACGGGAGGCAGCAGUGGGGAAUUUUGCGCAAUGGGGGAAACCCUGACGCAGCAACGCCGCGUGGAGGAUGAAGUACUUCGGUACGUAAACUCCUUUCGAUCGGGACGAUUAUGACGGUACCGGAAGAAGAAGCCCCGGCUAACUUCGUGCCAGCAGCCGCGGUAAUACGAGGGGGGCAAGCGUUGUUCGGAAUUAUUGGGCGUAAAGGGUGCGUAGGCGGUUUGGUAAGUCUUAUGUGAAAUCUAUGGGCUCAACUCAUAGACUGCAUGAGAAACUGCCGGGCUUGAGUGUGGGAGAGGUGAGUGGAAUUUCCGGUGUAGCGGUGAAAUGCGUAGAUAUCGGAAGGAACACCUGUGGCGAAAGCGGCUCACUGGACCACAACUGACGCUGAUGCACGAAAGCUAGGGGAGCAAACAGGAUUAGAUACCCUGGU